UUCAUUUCCCUUCUUUCAUCUUCUAGUCUUAGAUUUUUGUUGAUGGUAAGGAGAUAGAUAAAUUGGAAAUGAAUUACAACCCUAUGGCCCCCACUGUGUUCCAUGCCGCUCUAAAAAUUAUAGUCUGUUAUUCUCUUAGCUAUUCUUG